UUUCAAAGUGGGGGCCACCAGGGGGCCUCAACAAUCUGGUGCGAUAAAUGUAUGUUUUCUCUUUCUCACUCUCAGACACACACACACACACACACACAAUUCCUAAUGUAAUGCAAUGAUGUAAGAUGUCAUUAUUAAUAAAAAUAAAAAAGGGGGAAUAUAUUCAGAAGUCUGUAUUUUUAAUGUGUUUUAAAGACAUGUUGCAAAAGGGGGGCCUCGGUCACAUGUCAAUGCCAUUUGAGGGGCCUUGCCCUGGAAAAGUUUGGGAACCACCGACUUGAUCAACUGUUUUAAGCUUAAAGUGAUAAAACGCAGGCUGUCUGGACACUACAAGUAGUCGCUGCCAAAAUCACAACAAUUAGGUGAACUUGGAUUAUUUUAUGGUGAAUCGGUUUUUGUUUUUAAACUGAUGUAUUUAGCCAUUUUAACUAGAAGAGAGCCACAAUUAUGAAUAAUUUAUACAGUAUUUUUAAACACAAGCAUCUAACUGGGGCAGGGUUGAACAGAAAAACAAGUCCUUCAUUAACCUGUUGCUUAAAACUGAUUCAGCACAUUUAGGUCUAAACAUGAAAGUAAUGAAUAAAAUGGCUAGGGGUGAACCUUGAGAGAUUUAGUUCUGGCGGUUUAAAUGCUGUUUAAAGCAGAAAAUGAAGUAAACCUUAUAAAAAAAAUAAAAUGAAUAAAAAUCACUUCAACGUACUCCAUUCAUAUUCUGUCUGUUAGAAAACUAGGAGUCUGUAUAAUAAUCAGAAACAUCAGCUUUUGGCGUUUUGUACUUCCUUCAGUCUGCAAUAAUGAUGACCACACACACUUUACACAUUUGACCUUUUUAUUGUAGGAUUCACACGUAUAAUGAAUUCACAUUUAUUUCAGCAAUUUAGCAAACAUCAGGGAAAUAAAAGGCAAUGUACACUUCAAUACACUCGAAUUGCUGUAAAGCACCAGACUUCCUGAAUGUUCCUCCACCCAUCAGAGAAGAAACUCCUGUUUCUCACCAGCACACACUCGUAGCUUCACUCCUCCCCCUGACUGACUGACAUUAACAUGUUAUUAAUAUGCAAACAGGUGGAAGCACGGAUACGUAGUUCUCUCUCACUACAGGGACAUACUGGAGUUUUUCUACAAUUGAAAGAUUUACAGAUGUUCAUAUGAUCUAUGUGUAGGCACGCCUGAAAGCUGACACGCUACAGAUUCUCACCAGCUUUUAGUCAUGCUCGUAUGUUAAAACCCCGUCAUGAUGUUACGUGAGAAAGAAGAUACAAGGGAUCUGACCAUGGUGGAGCUCGCCGGCGAUUCUCACGUCCCCAGGGGGUUAACACACCUUCCAUAAAAAGCAGGUAGUGUGUUCUAUAGCCAUGUUUCAUAUUUACUGUAAUAAACUCACAUUCCAUGCAAGUAGCUUUAAUUUGUUAGCAUACAUUAGUGAUGUAUAUUUACCUUCAGUAAGCGACAUCGUCAUUAUAGAUUUAACAAGCAACUGUCUGAAUGCUCUCCAUCCACUUUAAUAAGAACACCUGCUCACUGAAUGUAGCUAUUCAAUCAGCCAACGAUAAGGCAGCAGCACAAUGGAAGAGCUACAACAGCUGAAGACCUCAGCAGGUUCCUCACCUAUUAGACAGGAACAGGAAUCUGAGGCUUUCGCGGGUGCACUCCCCUACAUACACACAGUUGAAUCUUCAGCUGUGCCAUUUAGGCGAGUCUGCACCCACGAUAGAUCCAGAGUCCUGUUCGUGUGGUCUUCUGCUGUUGUCGUCGUCCAUCCACUUCAAGGUUCAACGUGUUGUGCGUUCUACACUAAAGUCACAUCCUCUAAUAAACUCGGCACUAGUUUCUCAGCUGUUUCAUGCAAACGAUCCGAUUUUCCACGAACAUUGCAGGUAUUAAAGAGUUUGCUGUGCGAACUGAAGUCAAUCUCCUCACCGUUUCUUUCAUUCGUAACAUUACUGUUCAACGGGUAAGAGUUAGUAAUGCCGCAGUACACACGGUAGGUGCCGAAAUACAGCGAGCGCGGGCGCAAUACAACUCCAGGUGUGUACGCGGACCAGGUCGCGGGAGCCGACGCAGAUCUAUUCUACACUAAAACUUUUUCCUGGUACGGAAACGAAACUGCGUCAGAGUACGGUUAGUUGGAGUUUUUAUUUAUUCUUUUAAAAAGGUUAUGUUGAGGUAAGCCGAAUACUCUAAUAAUAAUAACUACUACACUUCGUGUUGUUUUGAGGAAGUGACGGGCUUCAGUCUUAACAGGUAGCUGACGACACGGUGCUAACAAAAGAUGGCGGCGGAGGCCGGAAGUGAACGCAGUUCACUCUUUCCACUUCCGGGGCGAACCCAAGCGCGCGGUUAACAUUUUCCGACUAGCGUGAACGGCAUAAUGUCCGGUGAAACGCGUGAGAAAAGUAGACAGCCGACAAAAGCUGAACGUUUUGAGUAUAAACUUACCUGUUUGUAGUCUCAAAAGCUACAUGAGCUAAUGCUAAUAAAACUAUUCACCUUUUUUUAUUUGCGCGUGCGAAUGAGGUAAAUGUACAUCGCUAAUGUAUGCUAACAAGUUAAAACUAAUUCAAUACACUUCGUUUAAAUAAAAAUAAAUCAAUAAAUCUGCAUGGUAAUGUCAACGCCGAGCAUUUGUUCAAAACACACACACAAUAUGCACAAAAAUACACAUACAUAGUUUUAGAAACUGCAGGGAACCUCUCAAAACUCACGCGCAGGAAAAUGACUCUGUACUAAACAGAAAAAUAUAAAAGAUAUAUAUAAGGUAUAUAAAAGAUAUACCGUAAAAAUGAUAGAAAAGCUGUUUCUUAAAUCCGAUGUACAAGUUUUACAAUUUUAAUUACUUGUAAAAUAGAUAGAUUAAUCGAGAUUAACACUAGAGACACAAAAAAGCAUGCUCACAUCUCUGGAGAGAAAAGCAGAAAGGGGCGCUUCUUCGUCUUCUGUUUGUUUUUACCACCUGAAGGUGCAUUACCGCCACCUACGGGACUGGAGUGUGGCCGGCAGAUUGGCAGGAUGAUAAUAAUAAUAAUAAUAAUAAUAAUAAUAAUAAUAAUAAUAAUACAUAAAUAAAAAACAAA
ensembl:lncRNA